CAGGACGAACGCUGGCGGCGUGCUUAACACAUGCAAGUCGAGCGAUGAAGCUUCUUCGGAAGUGGAUUAGCGGCGGACGGGUGAGUAACACGUGGGUAACCUGCCUCAUAGAGGGGAAUAGCCUUCCGAAAGGAAGAUUAAUACCGCAUAAGAUUGUAAUAUCGCAUGAUAUAGCAAUUAAAGGAGUAAUCCGCUAUGAGAUGGGACCCCGCGUCGCAUUAGCUAGUUGGUGAGGUAACGGCUCACCAAGGCGACGAUGCGUAGCCGACCUGAGAGGGUGAUCGGCCACAUUGGGACUGAGACACGGCCCAGACUCCUACGGGAGGCAGCAGUGGGGAAUAUUGCACAAUGGGGGGAAACCCUGAUGCAAGCAACGCCGCGUGAGUGAUGACGGUCUUCGGAUUGUAAAGCUCUGUCUUCAGGGACGAUAAUGACGGUACCUGAGGAGGAAGCCACGGCUAACUACGUGCCAGCCGCGGC
rnacentral:rRNA from 1 species